UAGCUAGGAAUCGAAUCCGUGCUGAGCGGAUUAUUCACAAGCACGAGUUCGUUCCUUAGCCCCUAAGCAAACUCCUUGGGCUUAGUCUUUUUUCGUGAUUCAGUGCACUCUGCAAACUUCACAAGCAAUCAGCGCAGAGCACAUUCAUGUUUUUGUGGAUGGUUCUGGUCAAAGCAACGAGUUAGCAGAGAUUCAUCAAUCUACCUCCUCCACCCCUUGGCCCCUUCUCUCUCUAACAUGUCUUGUUCCUCAUUUGAGUCUCGAUUGUAUAAGGCUUGAACAUGCCAGUUUUCUUCUACUGAGGGAUUACAUGGAGCGUUUUCUGCAUCAACUAACAUUCAUAUUUCGUACAGGAAGUCAGAGGUUGCAACCGGGACAGGCAUUAGUAGUUUACUUUGUUUCAGGUCUAUGUGCAGGGAGUUUUACUCAUUUCAAUAUGUUAAGCUUUGAUUCAGUUCCAUUCACUUUCUCUCUAGAGCAUCAUGGACGACAAUGUGGAGCAGAAACUUUCGGAAACAAGCAAUCUGAAGGGGAGAAUUUGGAGCGAGACCAAGCUCGUUUGGAGAAUCAUUUUUCCCUCAAUGUUCGCUAGAGUAUCGGCGUAUGGGAUCCCAGUGGUGACUCAGAUAUACAUCGGACACAUUAGCGAAGUAGAUCUUGCUGCUUAUGGAUUGAUACAGAGUGUUCUCUUGUUGUUUGUGAAUGGGGUUCUGUUGGGAAUGUCGAGUGCGACUGAGACAUUAUGUGGGCAAGCAUUUGGAGCUGGCCAAUACCAUAUGCUGGGCAUUUACUUGCAAAGAUCAUGGAUCGUCGAUAUUGUGACGGCGACAAUACUCCUCCCUGCGUUUAUAUUUGCGACUCCGCUCUUCCGGUUGCUCGGUGAGGAUGAUGACGUGGCGGUUGCGGCCGGAGAGAUCUCUCUUUGGUUCAUCCCUUUCCUCUACUACUUUGUUUUCUCGCUGACCGCCCAAAUGUACUUACAAGCACAGCUGAAAAACUCCAUAGUUGGAUGGCUGUGUUGCGGCUCUUUUGCCCUUCAUUUGUUACUCUCCUGGAUCAUGGUUAGCGUGCUCGAGUUGGGGGUUCCCGGUGCCAUGAUUGCCUUGAACAUAUCUGGUUGGUCUACAGUAAUUGGAGCAUUCAUCUACAUUUUUGGAGGGUGGUGUCCUCAGACAUGGAAAGGAUUCACCAAAGCCGCCUUUGCUGAUCUCAUUCCCGUCAUAAAGCUGUCAAUUUCUUCCGGCGUGAUGCUUUGCUUGGAGCUGUGGUACAGUGCUAUCCUUGUCUUGUUGGCGGGAUAUAUGCAAAACGCGACCGUGGCAAUAUCCGCAUUCUCGCUCUGCAUCAGCAUCAACUCAUGGGAAUUCAUGAUCUGCCUCGGCUUCCUUACGGGGGCAUGUGUGCGUGUAUCCAAUGAACUCGGGAGAGGAAACGCCAAAGCAGCAAUGUUCUCUGUCAAGGUCAUCGUCUCCAAUUCUUUAGCUAUUGGAAUAUUGUUCUGGGCGCUAUUUUUAGCCUUCGGAGACGAGAUUUCGAAGCUUUUUACAAGUAACGAAGAAGUUGCAGAAGCUAUGUCCGGUCUCUCUAUUCUACUUGCGUUCUCCUUCUUGCUCAACAGUGUACAGCCAGUGCUGAUAGGUGUUGCCAUCGGUGCUGGUUUACAGAGUGUGGUUGCGAUUGUAAACGUCUGCUGCUAUUAUUUGAUUGGCAUACCGAUCGGAGCAUUACUUGGAUAUGUGGCUGGUCUGGAAAUUAAGGGCCUGUGGGUUGGAUUGCUGUGCGGAGUGCUAGCGCAGACGUUGGUGCUUUCUUUCCUCACUUGGCGAACGAACUGGGAAGAACAGGUCAAUAAGGCAUCUAAACGUCUUGAUCGGUGGCUUUUGGAACCAGAGGAACCUACUGAGAGUGUUAGUCAUGCUUGAGAUCAUCCUCCAGGACCCGAUGCGGAGAGGGGCGACAAACGACUACUUUAGAAGCAUCUUCUUUCCUUUUUCUUUUCUUUUUAUUCUGGUUUUGGGUAAAUUUGCCUUCACGAUUAACCAAAUUUUUUAUACCCGAAUUGGAAGUAAAUUUCACUGUUGUUUACAGCAUUCACUAUGGUUCUGAACCUAGCUUAUAUAUAAUAUCUGUCAUAAGGUCGAGUAUACAAUACUUUCGAGGAGAGGAUUAACAUAUGAUCCUGGAA